rnacentral:rRNA from 1 species
UACGUAGGGAGCAAGCGUUGUCCGGAAUCAUUGGGCGUAAAGCGCGCGUAGGCGGCCCGAUAAGUCCGCUGUAAAAGUCAACGGCUCAACUGUUGAAAGCCGGUGGAUACUGUCGGGCUAGAGUACGGAAGAGGCAAGUGGAAUUCCUGGUGUAGCGGUGGAAUGCGCAGAUAUCUGGAGGAACACCGGUGGCGAAGGCGGCAUCCUGGACCGGCAUUGACGCUGAGGCGCGAAAGCCAGGGGAGCAAACGGG